UAUUUUUCUUCAUGUGUUUUUAUUGUGGGGGCCGCAUGUUAUUUAUGAAAACUAGGUGAGGCCCAGCUUUUAUUUUUAAUGAGCUGUCUUCAUAUGAAAGACCAUCAUUCCUAGGGACAUAUAAGUGUGACUUUCAUUGUAUCUGUGAAAGAAAUUUCUAACUUAAAAGAAUUACCUCAGACAAUCAUAUGUUGUAGGCAGACAGAUUUAAUACCUUAUUAUGGUCUGUGUCACCCUGUGCUGUGACUUUGUUCCCCUUUAUAAAACACUCUCCUGUUCCGUGUUAUCUCCAUAUCCCAGUGAGCACUAGAUGUACCAUAAACAUACACAGACCUGUUUGAAUAAGAAAAUAAAUGAGUGAAUGCGUUCAA